CUGAAAACAUAUAAUCUGAAACUAUAAAAAAAAAAAAAAUUCACUUUUUUUAUUUUUAUUUUAUUUUUAUUUUAUUUAUUUAUUUUUGUUUGUUUAUUUAAUUUUAAACCAAAGGUAUUAGGGAUAUUUACCCUUUAAUGAAUGUCAUUUUUGUGACUUUCUCUUUCUAGUGCUAUUUUUGAGACAUAAACUUCAAAAAGUGCUAUUAUUGACAAUUGCCCUUUCAAAUAAGAGAGAUAUCUAAAAGUAGAAUCUACUCAUAUAUAAAAAAAAAGAUAAAUUUGAAAACAAUCAUGUCCAUACUUCAACAAGAACCGUAAAAAAAUAGAAAACACAAGUACUCACUUUGUGUCGAUGGCUUGGGACUGAACAGUUUUCUCAACUUCAUCACGUUUGCCGUUGCGACCAGUGAACUGGGGUCUUGGAAGCCAUUGCGAUUGGCAUUGACGCGGCGGCUGUGAUGUGGCUUGCUGAAACUGUUGUUGAUUCUGGUGCGAGUAACCGCCGCCGCGCUGGACGUAUUGUGGCUGAUGCUGCUGCUGUUGAUAACCCGGCCGGGACUGGAAAUUAGGGUUAGGGUUAAAGGCACCACGGCCAGCGCCAAUCCCCUUUCCUCCUCGGUUGUUGUUGUUGUUGUUGUUCAUCAUCACAGCUUGUUCUUAUCGAUAGCUAAAAAGCUAACUCUGCCUAACUCUGAAUUUGUACAGCAAUAAUAAAGAAGAACGUCUAGGGUUUCCUACGGUAACACAAAAACCUACUGCAGUGUCCACAGUGGACAAAAUCGCGAUUCAAUUUCACAAAAGAAAAACUAUUGCUGAGAAAUGUAGAGUUUGUAGAACACAAAAUUGGGAUUAGUCAAAGGAUUUUGGAAAGAGGUCGACGCGAGAAGAGAGCAACCAAAGAAGGGGAUAUUUAUAAGUAUUGAGAAGAAGGUUCUGUCUGCCUGCCUUGAGAGACAGACAACCCUCUUUCGGUGACUUGGUCGGAUUUCUUUCUUUGGCAUCCAGUUAGGGCUGGUGGGAGAGCUACACAACCGCGGCCUUGGGCUUCAAUUCUCCAACGGACCUUUCACUUUUUCUCUCUCUCUCUUUAAGCAGACAACGCAUAGAGAGUUAUCAUUUUUUUUUAACCACAAAGAGAGUUAUCAUUUAUGUAAUACUAAAAUUAAUUGAAAAGAAAAGUUUGUAACAAAUGAUGGAAUAGACAACAAGACCACCAAAAAUUAUAUAAUAGACCCCUUAUUUUUUCUCUUUUACAAAUAGAUUAAAAAUAAAUUAAAAUUAAGAUCGUAAAACCUGAAGACUUGAAUAUAUUUACUUAACCAAAAAAAAAAAAUAUAUAUAUAUAUAUAUAUAUUUGAGCGGGCCUAGUGGUCUAGUGGUAGUGGACGGGCCUUGGAUGUAAAUACAUUCCAGUGAUAUAUUUACUAAGUCACAUUAUUCUGCGUACCAUGGUUGCGGAUACGUCCGUAUGAAAAUCCGGAAGAGAGCAUGUCGUGGAUUGCACCUCCCAUCUGGAAGUUAGGUAUGUGUCUUUAAUAGACCCGAGUUUAACCUUUUUCUUUAACAAAAAAAUAAUAUUUACUAACACUGUAGUAAUAGCUUUGUACUAACACUGUAGUAAAAAAAAAGAGAAAAAAAAUACGCGACCUAACUUGUGUUAUAAAAAAAAUUACUAACACUGUAGUAAUAGCAUAAUUAACUUGUUUUUAAAAAAAACACAUGUCAAAAAAUUACUAACACUUUCGUGGGUUGCACUUUCCAUGUAAUUAUUAGGGCUUAUUGGCUAAACAGCCAUAUUUCAGUGUGAAAUUAGGUGAGUAGCACUGAUUUUGACAUAAUUAAAUGUUAGACUCUUUGAUCAUAUUUUCUCCGGUUCUGCCCCUUUACAUAAACGGUUGCCAGUUACAAUCCCUAAAAUAAGCGACGUGGUGUUUUCCAGUGGAAUAUAAACACAUACAUACCAAUACGCAGAUGAGAGGCCAGCUGUAUUUAUCACAUAUGAUAGAAAAUUAUGAAAGAAAAUGAGUGGAUAAUAAGAAUACGCGUUCUAUAUAUGGUAACGUAACGGAGAAACCAAUUCAGAACAUUGCUAUUCUAUAUGACACAAUAGUAUAUGUCACAAUGUAAAGGUCAAAUAGCAUGGAAGUGUAAAACAUCAGUAAACACACAGAGAAAUAUAUACUACACCAUAUUAACUAAUCACUAAACUUUACACAUAAAUAUGACCUCAAUGUGAACCCCAAUCUUCAAAUGACAAACCCAAUAUGCCAGAAACUAACCCUUCUUUAAUCACACUAAACCCUAAAAGGAAAUAUAAACCCUAACCCAAUUAUGAAACUAAAACUUUUCCAUAUUAAUUAACUCUUUAUCCAAUCUUCAAAUGGAGAACCCAAUAUGCCAGAAACUAGCCCCUCCUCAAUAAUCAGUAUACCCUAUACGAAAAUAUAAACCCUCAUCCUAUGUCACUUCAAAUCUUUGAUAAACUAAACCUAUCAACUAAUCACUAAAUCCUACACGGAAAUAUAAAUUCUAAUCCAAUGUCAACCCCAAUCUUUUAUAAAUUAAACUUAAAUUUUAAAAUGUCAGUAAAAUGCAAUACCAUUUUACAUAAGGCAUAUAAAAUAGAAAAUGUGAAAAUGUAGUUACAAUCUAAAGAUCAUCUUAACACAUUUCUCAAAUGUUGAUAUGGCUAUACCUUCAUGAAAUGUGGUUAUGCUUGCCCAAAUGUCAACCCAAUCAUACAUAACUAAACCCUAUCAACUAAUCAUUAAACUCUACAUGAAAAUAUAAAUCCUAAUCCAAUAUCCAAUGUCAACCUUAAUCUUUUUUAAACUAAAUCAAAACCACUAAUCACUAAACCCAACAUGGAAAUAUAAAUCCUAAUCCAAUGUUAAUCAUAAUCUUUCAUAAACUAAACCCAAAUUUUGAAAUGCCAGUAAGAUGCAUUUCCAU